ACUGUUGCGUCAAAAAACAGAACACUCAAAACAUGAGCACAAUGGCAGCUCUUCCUUUAAAGAACUCCAGGCCUCAAGAGGGCAGAUAACCCAAAAACACGGGUGGAACUAAAAAAUUUAGCCAGGAUUUCUGGAGGGACUACUUUUACAUGCGCACCUGGCAGAUAAGCAUGGGUAUAAAAUGUUUGGGCUUAGCUUUGCUUGGGUCCUCAACAUACAAACAGCUCAUUGUUCAACCCUAAAGACGCAACUGGUUAUCAACCUAUUCCUAUUCCCUAUUCCUCUGUCAUUCAACUACUCUAUUCAACAAAUCAACUGUUUCAACAUAUUCAACAAAUGGCAUCAAAACCAUAAUAAAACACUGGAAAGGAA